rnacentral:rRNA from 1 species
UCGCGAAUCAUUGGCAAUGCGCGCAAGCGUGACCAUGCCACGCCGCGUGGGCGAUGAAGGCCUUCGGGUUGUAAAGCCCUGUCAGGGGUGAGGAAAUGUGCGGUUGAACCGCAUUUGACGUUAGCCCCAAAGGAAGUCACGGCUAACUCCGUGCCAGCAGCCGCGGUAAUACGGAGGUGGCAAACGUUGCUCGGAAUCACUGGGCUUAAAGGGCGUGUAGGCGGUCUUCCAAGUCGGGUGUGAAAGCCCUCGGCUCAACCGAGGAAUUGCACUCGAUACUGGUCGACUAGAGUGCGGCAGGGGUAAGUGGAACUCCAGGUGUAGCGGUGAAAUGCGUAGAUAUCUGGAGGAACGCCGGUGGCGAAAGCGACUUACUGGGCCGCAACUGACGCUGAGGCGCGAAAGCUAGGGGAGCGAACGGGAUUAGAUACCCCCGUAGUCC